AUUGAACGCUGGCGGCAGGCCUAACACAUGCAAGUCGAACGGUAGCACAGAGAGCUUGCUCUUGGGUGACGAGUGGCGGACGGGUGAGUAAUGUCUGGGAAACUGCCUGAUGGAGGGGGAUAACUACUGGGAACGGUAGCUAAUACCGCAUAACGUCGCAAGACCAAAGAGGGGGACCUUCGGGCCUCUUGCCAUCAGAUGUGCCCAGAUGGGAUUAGCUCGUAGGUGGGGUAAUGGCUCACCUAGGCGACGAUCCCUAGCUGGUCUGAGAGGAUGACCAGCCACACUGGAACUGAGACACGGUCCAGAGGCCUACGGGAGGCAGAAGUGGGGAAUAUUGCACAAUGGGCGCAAGCCUGAUGCAGCCAUGCCGCGUGUAUGAAGAAGGCCUUCGGGUUGUAAAGUACUUUCAGCGAGGAGGAAGGCAAUACGGUUAAUAACCGUGUUGAUUGACGUUACUCGCAGAAGAAGCACCGGCUAACUCCGUGCCAGCCGCCGCAGUAAGAC
rnacentral:rRNA from 1 species